rnacentral:lncRNA from 1 species
UGGAUGAUUCUCCACUGCUCGCGUGUAGGAGACCCGGUAUGCCUCGAGGGUAAAUUUGUCAUCUUCACCCAAAAAUCCACGUGUCGCUUUGUGAUUAUUUUUGGCUCCACAAAUGCCCCCACACCUGCUAGGCUGCUCGUAGGAAAAUGCAGCAGGUGUAGAGAUCUUCUUGCUCUAGGAAACUUAGGACUGCUUCCUGUUUUGAUGUAGAUUCCCUCUUUAAUAUGAAAUUAGAUCCUUCUAGGAAAAGGAAAUAAGUUUCUCUCAAAACCUAUUUAAGUCCACCUUAAGUGGGUUAUUAAAUCAACUUUGGAGAGUGAUUUAUUCUACCCUACAAGAGAGAAAGAG